CAGCAGCCGCGGUAAUACAGAGGGUGCGAGCGUUAAUCGGAUUUACUGGGCGUAAAGCGUGCGUAGGCGGCUUUUUAAGUCGGAUGUGAAAUCCCUGAGCUUAACUUAGGAAUUGCAUUUGAUACUGGGAAGCUAGAGUAUGGGAGAGGAUGGUAGAAUUCCAGGUGUAGCGGUGAAAUGCGUAGAGAUCUGGAGGAAUACCGAUGGCGAAGGCAGCCAUCUGGCCUAAUACUGACGCUGAGGUACGAAAGCAUGGGGAGCAAACAGGAUUAGAUACCCCCGUAGUCCCUGUCUCUUAUAC
rnacentral:rRNA from 1 species